UUUUCAGAGAUGAGAAUGUGCCUUCGGGAACCGUGAGACAGGUGCUGCAUGGCUGUCGUCAGCUCGUGUUGUGAAAUGUUGGGUUAAGUCCCGCAACGAGCGCAACCCUUAUCCUUUGUUGCCAGCGAUUCGGUCGGGAACUCAAAGGAGACUGCCAGUGAUAAACUGGAGGAAGGUGGGGAUGACGUCAAGUCAUCAUGGCCCUUACGACCAGGGCUACACACGUGCUACAAUGGCGCAUACAAAGAGAAGCGACCUCGCGAGAGCAAGCGGACCUCAUAAAGUGCGUCGUAGUCCGGAUUGGAGUCUGCAACUCGACUCCAUGAAGUCGGAAUCGCUAGUAAUCGUGGAUCAGAAUGCCACGGUGAAUACGUUCCCGGGCCUUGUACACACCGCCCGUCACACCAUGGGAGUGGGUUGCAAAAGAAGUAGGUAGCUUAACCUUCGGGAGGGCGCUUACCACUUUGUGAUUCAUGACUGGGGUGAAGUCGUAACAAGGUAACCGUAGGGGAACCUGCGGUUGGAUCACCUCCUUA
rnacentral:rRNA from 1 species